UGCGCAGGCGGUUUUGUAAGACAGGCGUGAAAUCCCCGGGCUCAACCUGGGAACUGCGCUUGUGACUGCAAGGCUAGAGUACGGCAGAGGGGGGUGGAAUUCCACGUGUAGCAGUGAAAUGCGUAGAGAUGUGGAGGAACACCAAUGGCGAAGGCAGCCCCCUGGGUCGAUACUGACGCUCAUGCACGAAAGCGUGGGUAGCAAACAGGAUUAGAUACCCUGGUAGUCCACGCCCUAAACGAUGUCAACUAGGUGUUGGGUGGGUAAAACCAUUUAGUACCGGAGCUAACGCGUGAAGUUGACCGCCUGGGGAGUACGGCCGCAAGGUUAAA
rnacentral:rRNA from 1 species